rnacentral:rRNA from 1 species
AUUGAACGCUGGCGGCAUGCUUUGCACAUGCAAGUCGAACGGUAACAGGCCGCAAGGUGCUGACGAGUGGCGAACGGGUGAGUAAUGCAUCGGAACGUGCCCAGUCGUGGGGGAUAACGCAGCGAAAGCUGCGCUAAUACCGCAUACGAUCUAUGGAUGAAAGCGGGGGACCGUAAGGCCUCGCGCGAUUGGAGCGGCCGAUGUCAGAUUAGGUAGUUGGUGAGGUAAAGGCUCACCAAGCCAACGAUCUGUAGCUGGUCUGAGAGGACGACCAGCCACACUGGGACUGAGACACGGCCCAGACUCCUACGGGAGGCAGCAGUGGGGAAUUUUGGACAAUGGGCGCAAGCCUGAUCCAGCAAUGCCGCGUGCAGGAAGAAGGCCUUCGGGUUGUAAACUGCUUUUGUACGGAACGAAACGGUCUGGGUUAAUACCUUGGGCUAAUGACGGUACCGUAAGAAUAAGCACCGGCUAACUACGUGCCAGCCGCCGCCGUAAUAC